rnacentral:rRNA from 1 species
UACAGAGGUCUCAAGCGUUGUUCGGAUUCAUUGGGCGUAAAGGGCGCGUAGGCGGCGGGGUAAGUCGGGGGUGAAAUCUCAGGGCUCAACCCUGAAACUGCACUCGAUACUGCUCUGCUUGAGGACUGGAGAGGAGACUGGAAUUCACGGUGUAGCAGUGAAAUGCGUAGAUAUCGUGAGGAAGACCAGUGGCGAAGGCGGGUCUCUGGACAGUUCCUGACGCUGAGGCGCGAAGGCCAGGGGAGCAAACGGG